GGAAGAGUCCAGGCUUUCUUCACCACAUGGCAGUUUAUGCCACGGAAGCAUGGCUUUCCUGAGAGGACCCUGUAAGCCAGACAAGAAGAUGCUUCCCUGCCCGUCCUGAUCCCCAGCCUUGGCGCCCAGCAGCCUCCUCUCUGGUUAACUGGAGAGGCAGCAAUCUCACUUCACCGAUGGGGAAACUGAGACUUAGCAACUUACCCAAGAUUGGGAAAUGGCCACUGGAGAGGUUACACAUUUCCUUCAAGGUCAAGGACUGGGACCAGAGGAACAGCACCAUAUCCAAGGAUGUAAGGCUCCAAAAAUUGAUUCUGCUCCUUGAAGUAGGAUUCUUGGUGCCCUUUGGAAGCUUAGAGUGCAUUUUCUUUUUAAAUAGAGAUGCUGAGCUUGACCACAGUAGAUUUCUGAUUUGGUGGAGGGGGG
rnacentral:lncRNA from 1 species